rnacentral:pre_miRNA from 1 species
UCACCUCUGCAGGCUGCCGGCCCCCAGGCUGGGCUGGGCGAGUGUCUCUUCGAAAGGCUCACCCACAAGCACGACUAGGAGC